rnacentral:rRNA from 1 species
UGGGGAAUAUUGCACAAUGGGGGAAACCCUGAUGCAGCAACGCCGCGUGAGUGAUGACGGCCUUCGGGUUGUAAAGCUCUGUCUUCAGGGACGAUAAUGACGGUACCUGAGGAGGAAGCCACGGCUAACUACGUGCCAGCAGCCGCGGUAAUACGUAGGUGGCAAGCGUUGUCCGGAUUUACUGGGCGUAAAGGGAGCGUAGGCGGACUUUUAAGUGAGAUGUGAAAUACCCGGGCUCAACCUGGGUGCUGCAUUUCAAACUGGAAGUCUAGAGUGCAGGAGAGGAUAGUGGAAUUCCUAGUGUAGCGGUGAAAUGCGUAGAGAUUAGGAAGAACACCAGUGGCGAAGGCGACUCUCUGGACUGUAACUGACGCUGAGGCUCGAAAGCGUGGGGAGCAAACA